UCAUAUUUGAAGGUCAGAAAAGAGGAAGUAAAAUUCUUGAGGCAGGGGGAAGAUAGUUCCAUACUGUGAAACACUUGAAUUUGACAGACAUUUGGGCCAAAGAGGUUCUGAAAAGGGGGAUAUGUAAAUUGCCGCAUUGGCGAGUUUGAUAAUUGUGAAUCUGAGAACGAAAAUUCAGGAAACCGUCAAAGGAACUAUAUGAAUGACAGCCUGAGGACCAACGUGUUUGUGAGGUUCCAAGCUGAGCCCAUCGCCCCAGCCCUCCAGACCUCACUGGUAGCUGCUGUUCAGAGUCACUGACGGAAGGAAAUCAAGGAGAUCUAUCUAACCACCCUCAAACUCUACACCAGGAAGAAACCUAACUACAAUCAUCUGGAGAAGGAGGUGGAGAGGAGGUAGAUGUUCCUGCAGGAGGCCAAGCUGAAGGCCAAAGGGCUGAAUCCUGAUGGGACCCCCGCACUGUCUGCCCUGGGGGGCUUCUCCCCCGGCUCCAAACUUGUGAAGGGAACCUUUUGUUUUUCAUUCAGCCUUUAUUUAACAAGGAAAACCUGUUGAGACAUUCUCUUUUGCAAGGAGACCUGGCCACGAAUGGCAGUUGAGCGAUAUAUAUGGGAGUCAGAUGGCUGAGCGAUGAGGGAGUCGGGCUAGUAAUCAGAAGGUUGCCAGAACGAUUCCCC